CGCCAGCAGCCGCGGUAAUACGGGGGGUGCGAGCGUUGUCCGGAAUCACUGGGCGUAAAGGGCGCGUAGGUGGUCUUAUAAGGGUGUGGUGAAAGCCCGGGGCUCAACCCCGGGUCGGCCGUGCCGACUGUAAGACUAGAGUGCUGUAGGGGCAGGCGGAAUUCCGGGUGUAGCGGUGGAAUGCGUAGAGAUCCGGAGGAAGACCGGUGGCGAAGGCGGCCUGCUGGGCAGUUACUGACACUGAGGCGCGACAGCGUGGGGAGCAAACAGGAUUAGAUACCCUGGUAGUCCACGCCGUAAACGAUGGGUACUAGGUGCCUGGGGGAGCGACCCCUUGGGUGCCGGCGCUAACGCAGGAAGUACCCCGCCUGGGGAGUACGGCCGCAAGGCUGAAACUCAAAGGAAUUGACGGGGGCCCGCACA
rnacentral:rRNA from 1 species